CCCUUAGAUGUUCUGGGCGGCCCGCGCACUACAAUGGCGCUUUCAGCGAGUUCCUAUGUUGAAUUUUCCUUGGUAUUCUUGGAAGCGGCGUCUUGACUUGGGAUAGAUCCUUGUAAUUGUUGGUUUUGAACGAGGAAUUCCUUGUAAUCGCGGUUGAUCAGCUCGCGUUGAGUACGUCCCUGCCCUUUGUACACACCGCCCGUCGCUCCUACCGAUGAAUCGUCCGGUGAAGUUCACAGAGUGGCGGUUCGUGGAGUUGCUCGCGAAGUGAAAUGGACCUCACGAUUUAGAGGAAGGAGAAGUCGUAACA
rnacentral:rRNA from 1 species